rnacentral:rRNA from 1 species
GACGAACGCUGGCGGCGUGCUUAACACAUGCAAGUCGAACGGGAUCCGGGCUUUCGGGUUUGGUGAGAGUGGCGAACGGGUGAGUAACACGUGAGUAACCUGCCCCCUUCUUUGGGAUAACGUCGGGAAAUCGGCGCUAAUACUGGAUAUUCUUGCUGCAUCGCAUGGUGUGGUUUGGAAAGGGUUUCUGUUGGGGGAUGGGCUCGCGGCCUAUCAGCUUGUUGGUGGGGUGAUGGCCUACCAAGGCUUUGACGGGUAGCCGGCCUGAGAGGGUGUCCGGCCAUACUGGGACCGAGACACGGCCCAGACUCCUACGGGGGGCAGCAGUGGGGAAUAUUGCACAAUGAGCGCAAGCCUGAUGCAGCGACGCCGCGUGAGGGAUGACGGCCUUCGGGUUGUAAACCUCUUUCAGUAUGGAACAAGGAUCCUUCGUUUGGGGGGUUUGAGGGUACGUGCAGAAGAAGCGCCGGCUAACUACGUG